UACAAUCUGAUACCUCUCCCUUUAAACCCAUGUUUCUUGGACUUGAAGAGAAGCUUUUGCUCUGAUGGUUGAAAUUCACUGAUGAAGUGGAAAAGCCUGGAAUUCAGCCAACAGCACUCAAGUGCUGUAAGGGGACUUACUCCAUUUAACCAACUCUACCAUGUCCUCAGGACUUUGAAUACCUUAAAGGAGACUUUUCUAUCCAUAUGAAAACACACUCUGUUGAAGUGCCUGAAGGCUAAUGUUGCUGCAGAGUGGGAAAAUGGCAUCAGGAUAGCUCCGAAGUAAACAGCAUCAGAAAGGAAACCUCCUGCUGUGUCAUGUUGCACAGACCUUCCAGUGGGACAGUCUUUCCCAGCUCUGUUGAGGCCCAUCUCUCAUGUACCAAGAGCAUUGCCGCUGUUUGGAAAGAUUAAAACAUUCUUAUUAACAAGCCUCCCCAAGAACAACAAACUAAAACAUGCAGGCUUGCACAAGUGCUCUAAUAUAGAUCUUUGGCUUUCAGGACUGUUGUGAGGUUUUUACUUCCUCUCACCCCAAUGGCAGCUGUAUUGUCAGGUAUUGUGCAUUGAUUAAAAAUCUCUGUAAUCAAAUACUGACAGGGGAAGUUCCAAAUAUUUGAAGAAUGACUCCUAAAAGCUGCUACUCAGCUGUGAGUGAAUUAAUCCAGAGAUUGGUCUGUCAGACUGGUGUGCAAUACAAAAUGUCUGCUCACCUUCAUGUCCAAAGCUGCCAAUGAACUGCAGUGGUAGGUAUCAAGGUAAGUCUGUGUCCAACAGGACAGAGUAAGCUACAGUCAGUUCUUUUGUGGGAGAUACUGCUCCAAGAAGCCUUUGUUUUGGACAAAACCCAUUACUCAAUUUAUCAAUCCCUAGUUGCGCUUUAAAUUCCUGUAUCCUAAAUCUAUAGGAUAGAUUGGAUAGUUUAAUUGGAAAUGUGAAAGUAGGCUGGAAAUCAUUGCUGUGCAAACUGUAUAGAAGUUUGGGUCUUUUUCUGUUCCAUGGCUGAA